AUUAGAGUCAGGUCUUAGCAUAGACUGAGGAGGGAGAUACAAUCCCUACUCUAGAAGGAAAUGCAGUAUACAACAAAAGAAUGACAGGACCUGGCUCACCUGGUCCAGGAGAGCAUACAUAGGAGUGGAAGGAUGUUAGAUUGAGACAUUGGCAGAAUUUCCAUCAGGCAGAGAGAAGAAAACAUUUAGGCGAUGUUAAGGAGGAUAUUUUCAAAGAGAGAAAAACUGAAGAUGCCACUCAAAUAAAAUUUUAAGCUGGGG
rnacentral:lncRNA from 1 species